AGGAGUUAGAAGACAUUAAUUAGGAAGUCCCGUGACACAAAACAGGAAGAUGGAUGGGUUGGGAUCAAAUCGAGAAGGGAUCCACGUAGUAGGAUAUGGAGCCAGUGUUUCAUUAAAUAGGGGCCUCCUUUAAUGCCAAAUGGCAGCGUCUGAGAACAGGAGACCAGAGGAAGAGAGCCUAAGCAGAAUUGGGCAAAGAAGGGACAAAAAGCUGUAAGCAGAAAAGGCAAAGCUGGCCGGACAAAAGCAGUGGUCGGGACACUGACCUUCCUCAAGUAGCAGCAAUAGGAACGAAUGAGACAAAUUAUGAGAAUGGAAAAACCCAGUGGGAGCAUCCCGUAGCCAGCGACUCAAAAAUGAAUCUGGGUAUCCCUGAGGAGACGGGGAAGACGCUCCGACUCGGCUGGAUGCGGCAGGGAGAGCCAGUUUGAGGAGCACUGAACUCUCAGAAGGCCUCCCCUGAACACCAAUGUACAAUUUAGGGGCGAACAUCUCCUGAAUCCCCCAAAAUGCUGAAGACUUAUCACCCGUGAGAGAGGGAAGACAUGGUGUCAGAGACAAAACCUUUAGGCUGACGACACUUGGAGCCCCAGAUGCUUUGCUGCACAGAGUUCACAGAAAAAGAAUCAGAAGAUCUGGGAAAUCCAGGUUCCCAGAGGAAGAAAGCCAGUUCCUUCUAGUUCUGGGCUCUGGAAGAAACCAGAGACCUAACAGCCUCACAGCCUGGCGUUGGCAACCCUUCCCUGAGAUAAGGGAGCAGAGGCGCGGCUCUCCUUCGGGGAG